GGCGAUAACUUUUAAAUCUUAUAAUUGGAUUUGAAAUGCGCACAUAAGUAUUUUAGUUUGAUAUAAUUUAGAAUUAAAUUCAUUAGAUACGCACAUGUAGGUAUUAUAAUAAUUCUCAAUGCUUGUAUAACCAAAAUUAUAGUAUUUAAACUCUGUGCCAUGCCACUACCAAGCAACCACUCUCCCCCUGUUCCAACUAAAAUGUUAAAUAUCUUGUCAUCAGGUUCAAAAACGGGAAAUCAAAAAUUUCAACACCAGAAUUUAUUUGAAAUAUUAC